rnacentral:rRNA from 1 species
UGGUUUGAGUGGGCUGACCCCACUAAACCUUGGAUUGGCAUGGGCACGCCAUGCACUGACGAUGAUAGAAAUCUUUUUGCGGCUGCCACUCAUGUUACCAUUGGUGAUGGUCAUCGGGCCACCUUCUGGGAAUCACCUUGGGUGGACGGUAUUCGCCCCAAGGAUAUUGCUCCAAAGAUCUUUGAUCUCUCCAGGAAGAAAAGAAGCUCCGUUCGCUCGAGUCUCACAGACAACGCUUGGGUCCGCAACAUUGAUACCUCUCAGGGCCUCACUUUUGAGCAUAUUGAGCAAUUCGCCACCCUUUGGGAGAAGCUCUCCAAUGUCAUUCUAACCCCUGGAGUUGACGAUGCGAUUUUUUGGAAGUUCACUAAAGAUGGGGUAUACUCCGCGUCUUCUGCAUACAAUGCUCAGUUUGAGGGUCACACCGCCUCUGCCAUGAUCACUACCAUUUGGAAAGCUUGGGCCCCC